rnacentral:rRNA from 1 species
AAAGCGAAUGGUGAAACCUGAGGGCUCAACCCUCAGACUAUUAUUCGAACUCGUCUGCUCGAGAGUAAGAGAGGUACCUGGAAUUUCUUGUGUAGGAGUGAAAUCCGUAGAUAUAAGAAGGAACACCAAUGGCGUAAGCAGGGUACUGGCUUAUUUCUGACGCUAAGGCACGAAAGCGUGGGGAGCGAACCGGAUUAGAUACCCGGGUAGUCCACGCCGUAAACGAUGGAUACUA